AGUCUUGUGGCCUAAUGAAUAAGGCAUCAGCCCCUAGGGUGGAAGAUUGUGGGUUCAAGUCCCACUGGGGUCA
rnacentral:tRNA from 1 species